rnacentral:rRNA from 1 species
AGGGUUUGAUCAUGGCUCAGAACGUACGCUGGCGGCACGCCUAACACAUGCAAGUCGAACGCAGUAGCAAUACUGAGUGGCGAACGGGUGAGUAUAAUGUGGGUAUCUGCCUUUUGGUUUGGAAUAACACGAGGAAACUUGUGCUAAUACCGGAUAAGCCUUUACAGGGAAAGCUUUAGCGCCGAAAGAUGAGUCCACACUUGAUUAGCUAGUUGGUAAGGUAAUGGCUUACCAAGGCUACGAUCAAUAGCUGAUCUGAGAGGAUGAUCAGCCACAUUGGGACUGAGACACGGCCCAGACUCCUACGGGAGGCAGCAGUGGGGAAUCUUGCACAGUGGGGGAAACCCUGAUGCAGCGAUGCCGCGUGAGUGAAGAAGGCCUUUGGGUUGUAAAGCUCUUUCGUCGGGGAAGAAAAUGACUGUACCCGAAUAAGAAGGUCCGGCUAACUUCGUGCCAGCAGCCGCGGUAAUAC